UAAUCAUUCAAAUCACCCAAAACAGCUGGAAUUAUUGGUACAUUGUAUAGAGGUAAACCUAUGGUCUCCUGAAG
rfam:Tupaia chinensis contig19747, whole genome shotgun sequence.